CCUACGGGAGGCAGCAGUGGGGAAUAUUGGACAAUGGGCGGAAGCCUGAUCCAGCCAUGCCGCGUGUGUGAAGAAGGCCUUUUGGUUGUAAAGCACUUUAAGCGAGGAGGAGGCUACUAGUACUAAUACUACUGGAUAGUGGACGUUACUCGCAGAAUAAGCACCGGCUAACUCUGUGCCAGCAGCCGCGGUAAUACAGAGGGUGCGAGCGUUAAUCGGAUUUACUGGGCGUAAAGCGUGCGUAGGCGGCUUUUAAGUCGGAUGUGAAAUCCCCGAGCUUAACUUGGGAAUUGCAUUCGAUACUGGGAAGCUAGAGUAUGGGAGAGGAUGGUAGAAUUCCAGGUGUAGCGGUGAAAUGCGUAGAGAUCUGGAGGAAUACCGAUGGCGAAGGCAGCCAUCUGGCCUAAUACUGACGCUGAGGUACGAAAGCAUGGGGAGCAAACAGGAUUAGAUACCCUGGUAGUCCAUGCCGUAAACGAUGUCUACUAGCCGUUGGGGCCUUUGAGGCUUUAGUGGCGCAGCUAACGCGAUAAGUAGACCGCCUGGGGAUACGGUCGCAAGCUUAAAACUUAAAUGAAUUGACCGGNUGAGAGNGCGAGGACGACGACGAGGGAGGAG
rnacentral:rRNA from 1 species